rnacentral:rRNA from 1 species
UCGGGAAUUUUGGGCAAUGGGCGAAAGUCUGACGCUGCGACGUCGCGUGGGUGAUGAAGGUCUUCGGAUCGUAAAACCCUGUCGAGAGGGAAGAAAGAGCGGGCGCUAAUAUCGCCUACUUCUGACGGUACCUCUGGAGGAAGCCCCGGCUAACUCUGUGCCAGCAGCCGCGGUAAUACAGAGGGGGCAAGCGUUGUUCGGAAUUACUGGGCGUAAAGCGUGCGCAGGCGGUUAUGCAAGACAGAUGUGAAAUCCCCGGGCUCAACCUGGGAACUGCAUUUGUGACUGUAUAGCUAGAGUACGGUAGAGGGGGAUGGAAUUCCGCGUGUAGCAGUGAAAUGCGUAGAUAUGCGGAGGAACACCGAUGGCGAAGGCAAUCCCCUGGACCUGUACUGACGCUCAUGCACGAAAGCGUGGGGAGCAAACAGGAUUAGAUACCCCCGUAGUCCCUGAGCGGGCUGGCAAG